CACGUUUUCGUAUAGCGUUUCCUCUCCCCUCCAUCCCGAGUGUCUCUCUCCUCUCUCCGCUGCGCGUUCCCUUUCCUCUCACCAUUUCAUACGAUAGAUACAUCAUUCCCUCUCCCCUCUCCACCGCAUACAAUGGAUCCGAUGAGAUGGAAGCAAAUCUCAUCAAAUCUGCCCUCUCUUCUCACCAUUUCGUAUGGAAUCCGAAGGUUUUUAGAUGAAACCUGCAGUGGCAAAAGGGGGUUUACAAGUUUUGCUGGCCAAUUUCGAUGAAUGGGUUUUUUAGUUACUUCUCAGACAAUGUUAACAAAGAAAAACCACCUGGCUGGAACUGAAUAGAGAUAAUUCCACCAUCUUUACAUGCAAUCGAUGAAUGAGCCUUAGUAUAUAUCAGAUGCAUUUGGUGACACCUUUCAAUUUUCAGGCAGAGAGACUUUCUGGAUUCUAUGAAGUAUGCAAAGGUGUUUAUAUCGGACGUGAAGAAAUAUUGUUGAAAAUUGAAUAGAUGCAUGCCAUUGUUGCGGCCCCUGUGGACCUCUAAUUAUCAUGCGAAGAUGAUGAGCUCGAUUUAUAAUCUUAUACAGGAAAGCAAAAUGUUGAAUUUUUGGCUGCUAUCAUUUAUUCCACUUUAUUAUUUUCACACUGUUGUGAUUUAUUUAGAGUUCUGAAGUAACAGUAUGUAAUUCUCAAUUUUCUUUAAUUGCUCUUCAAUUUGUAAAAAUGAUGACUUUCGGGAGUAAAUUGUGGUUUUUGGGUAAAGUGUUCCUUCAAUAUAGGAUUACUAAAAGUGCUUGAGUUUCAAGAAUGCUGCUUUUUUUGGGGUCAAUUUUUGUUGUUAUAAAUGUCAGGUAGUGAUUUUAUUUCUUUUUGAUGCAUCCAAAUUAGCGAUUGAUGAAAUUUUGUGCAAAAUUUUCCAUUGAAAAGAAAUUGCAUGAGACCAAACUCAUUUACGAAGGUUGAUUAGUCAAACUAAUUCACAUUUCUGAUUUCUUUUUCUCAAGAUUUUGGUUGGUUCAUCAAAAGAUUAUCUUUUGAACCAUCAAGUCCCCUACUUUGUUCUUUUCAACAACUCCCAUUAGCGGAGCCGUAGCCAAUGAUGGGAAGGGUAGUUUGACAUUAAUCUUUCUAAGUCGAUUGAUAAAUUUGAAUACUUUCACACUUUAUUCCUAAUGUUGAUUGAUAAGAAUAUAGCUUAUUUUGUAUGAUAUAGUGUCGCCAGUUUUUGCAAAAUUUUCAACAGAUAUCACAAUUUGACUUCACAUAUUUUGAGCAAAAACACAUUCCAUCCCUAUUCCCUACUAAAGUUGAUCAUGUUUUAGGAGGCCUUAAACCAUUCUUUUUUUCUUUUUUAACUUUAAUUUUCUUUUAAUUGACACCUCUGUAGCUUUCAAUUAUCUUAUUUAAUUUUUUUAUUAUGAAUUAAUUUAAAGUUUUUGUUAAAUUUUAUGUUCAAUUAGUUAUAAACCCACAUAGCCGGCUGCUUCUUUACUUACCUCUGCUCUCUGCCAACCUUUGUAAGUUCUACUCCAUCUCUGUCUACUUUUGUGCACUUUGUUUAUUUGUAUACAUCUAUAAAGUGGUUCUAUACUUUGGUCGAUUAUGGAAAUUAAUUUAUAAUGUAGUUUUUUUUUAUCGCAUAUAGUUACGAUAAACAUUAUUCGAAAUUUUAAUUUGGAAUUCUUAAUUGACACAACAUUAAUUUUUCAGAUUAAUACAUAUAAUAGUGAUCUACAGUGCAAUGCUCCAGUGUAAAGCCUUUUCUAUUCUUUAUCUAUAGAAUGCAGAGUGAAGUUCUCAUGUGGCAUGUUUUUCAUUUUUAAGAGAUAGCUCUGUAUGUUAAUUUUUGUCCAAAUUCCUAUGCUUUGGAAUGCUCUCACCAUUUAUUUGUAUACAUUCAUGUUUUCCCAUGCAAUUUCUAUGCUUAAUAAGGUCGAGUUAAGUUCUUUGAUUUUGCUUAGAGUUCGAUACAUAUAUGUAUCUAGAUACUAUGAAACUUUGGAAGAAGAGGAUGCAAAAGCUAUCAAAUUAGUGCACAAAAUGUCAGAGUAUCAAAAAAGUACAAAGAUGCAAAAAAUAAUCCACAAAGACACAGAGGAAGAAGACAAAAUGGAGUGGAGUUCGAGUAGUUUCUUCCUUUUCCUUGAGUUGGCAUGUUGCACUUUUUCAAAUUAUUACUCUGAUUGCCGUUAAGAAUUCUUUGUUUCUAGCUAUUCAGUUAGGUCUUCUUCCCACUUUUUGAAGUUUGAAUUAUGCACUGGUGUGCACUUUUUUCAAGUCUCUUUGGUUUGUAAUGUGCUUGAUUAUUUCUCCAACUAAUUAAUUUUUUGUUUUACCCUUGAACUUCAAUUCUCAAUUAUUUACACUAAGUGCUCAAGCUAUUAAUUUGAUUUAAGUGCAAUUAUAACCAUGUAGGUUCCAACCGUGUUUAACUGUUCAUCGAGUAGGUAGUUCAUCCACUAUGUAACCUUGCGCAACAUUCAUCAUGUGCUGUUUGAAGUCUAAAUUUUAUUUGCUCACUUGGUCAAAAAGUUUUCCUAGAAGGCAUUGAAAAUUUGUUUAAGAAUAUGUGAUUUUCAAAGUGGCAUUCUAUGUUUAAGAGCUCACCGAGGAAGGAUUAGCAACACUUUAGGUUGCUGAUUUUCAAUUCUCUUUUAAAGCAUAUAAAUUAGUGAGCUUUUCGUUUCUUUAUGAUCUUAUUGACAGGUUCUAAUUGAGACAAAAAUUUUGAUGCCUUUUGAUAAAGGGCACUCUUUUCCAUUCUUUUUGAAGGGUCCUCUUCUCAUACUAAUAAUUGGUUUAUUAAUACAAAAUACUCAUGAAAAUUUUUUGUUAGCAAAAUUAAAUCUAAUUUUGACAAUAUGCUACACUGAGAGAAGGUUUGAAUGAGUUCACGUAGAAAAUAUUUGCUUAGAUGCAGUUUCAAAUAAGAAUAUUUGCUGAAUAUUGCAAAAUGGUUUUAAAGACUAUUUAAGAUCACCUUUCUUUCCUCUUUAUUUGGAUGCUUUAAAUAUAUAGUUCUAUAUGUAAUUGUUGGUAAUGCUUAAAACCUGUUAGAUGUCAUUUGGGCUCUGCAUCUCCCCAGUUGAUUGGACCAUGUAAUUCAUUUACUUAUAUUGAGUUUCUUGGCAGUCAUAUAUAUUGCUUAAUUAGGCAAUGUAAUAUAGUGAAUGCAAUUUUGAGUGCACUAUACAAGGAAACAAAAAAAAUGAGAAGUUUAUAGUAUUUUAAUUGCAAGUAAUUUUGUUAAGAAUCUAGCUACUCUGCUAGGUAUAUGCUUGGAAAAGAGGGGGGUAUGAGAGCCUUAGAUUCGGAGAUGACAAGAGUAGUAAAAUGGUUCUUUAGAAGGUUCAGCUCUUAGUUGGAGAAACCAAAUACAAUAUUACAAAAGUAAAAUUAUUCUUUAUAUUGGAUAAUAGAGAGAUCAUAUGAAAAUUUCUUGAAUUUUUCAUUGUUAAGUUAUCUAAGAAAAGUUGAACUUACUAAUUUAAACAUCUAUAUAUAGGACAUUCAUUCCAUCGCAUGCAGAAUAUUUUUUUUAGGUAUUAUGUUUAUCUAGCAAGCUGUUAAACAAGCUAAACUUAUGUCAGUUUGGUUGUCAACAUUAAACUGUGUGUGUUAAGCCUUUUGACUAGGAUUUUUAUGUCUAUUAGCUUAUUUUGAGGUUGAUGAGAGUAAUAGUUGAAAUUCUUCCUUUUUUUGUUUGUCAUUUGCAAUUUUGUGAAAUUUUGUUCAUAUUUGAUGAAUUUUUUAUAUAAAUUAUUGUUUUUUUGCCUGAAUCUAAAGAAAAUCUUACUUGCUCCCAACAAAUAUUUGUAGAUUAUACUGUCAUUUUCAUCAUAAACUAUCUAAUUUCGUUUUUUCUAUAGAAUCAACCCGCCGCAACGCGCGGGUAUCUUCACUAGUUAUUAUCUAUGAUACAGUAAAAUUUUUGCGCCGCUUGUUUGACCGAGUUCUAGAACAUCGUUGAAAUUAAUCCAGCAGUAAGUUUCAGAGGACUGUACGGAACCCGAUUCCCAACCGUUGGACGGACGAGAUCUUCCAAACUCGUCGAACAAUUCGAGCCGACAAUGUGGACGGUCAAGAUCGCCGAGUUAUCUCUCCGCUCCACCACUCUCACCGACCUUCCGGAUGAUGUCGUCGGCCCCGGUGCGGUUCUCCGCCCACUGGAUCUCGUCACCGCAGGUGAGGUUAAGAAACCCCUCACCAUCUUCGAUAGUUGCGCCUCGUCUCCUAUCUCUUCCUCCUCCUCCUCCGCUCUGAAACGAAAUCAUCAACCAAGUUUAGUUUCAGCCUAACAAUGGCGCGUCUCCCCCGAGCUUCACCUCUAGGGUUUCGCCAUGCGGCAGAGCACGUCGGAGAGUUUCCUCUUUGUGCUCGUUUGUAGCCCCCAUGUGCUGCUCCAAGAAUGGUCAUGGUGAGGUGAGAUUGAUUUAAUCCUUUCCAUCCUGAUUGGUUCCUGGGCUUAAUUAGAAUUAGGUCAUCCUCGGGUGCUUAUUUUGCGGAUUUGUACAUUAUAUGUGAUGCGCUCUGGCUAAUUCUCGCUAUUUUGUGCUUUGCAAUGAAGUAAUAAGAUAGUAUGUUCCAAUGGAGCAGAUCCGUAUCAGUAGUUAUACCUUCAUUCAGAUAUAAAUAAACUAUGUUUAGAUUGUGCAAAAAUAUUUGCCGAGCGAUGAUCAUGAAUAAAAUGAUCAAGGAAAUUCUUG